CCAUGCCCUAAUUACAAUAACUUUAACAGAGCCAUGUAUAAAUUUGAAUUUGCCAAACCGCUUUCAUCACUGAGACAAGUUCAGUGUUCUUUAGUAGCUAUAAUUCAACAAGUUUUCACCUAAAUGGAUAGCUGGUAAAAACUAUUAUAAACAGCCCAUCUGACCUUGAGAAUUCCUAAAAGCAAGUAAGUUUGAGAUUUACUAUUUGAAGCGCAGCUUAAAGUCCACAGCACAACACACACAAUUUGUCAUGUUUACUGGACAGAGAUAUAGCACAUUGCAUUAUGGGAAAAAAAGCCUCCAGAUAACUGGCCAUGUACCGCUUUCCAGUGUGUUGUGGGUUUCCUCUGAGUGAAAUACAAUAUUAAAAUGCAUAUGUAUUUCUCGGUAUGCUAAAUGAAAGCAUAAUCCAAGUGAAAACCACAAGAGCUGAAAAACGAAGGUGCCAUUAACUGUAGUUUAAAUUAUGUUACAUUAUUUUAGCAGACACCUUUAUUCAAAUUAACCUAUAAGUGAUAAACACAUUGAGAAGCAAUGUAGAAUUCAGUAUUUAGCUCAAAGUUACUUCAAUAUGUAGACCGGGGAAGUUUGGGAUCAAAUCAGCAACCUUUCAUCUGAAGGAUCUCUAUAAGUUAGAAAUUGCAGCAACAGUUGCUCACCUGCUGAGAUGCUUAAGCCCCUUUUCCACUAAUACCUACUCAACUCAACUUGAUUUGACUUUACUCAGUUUCCUUUACAAAUGACUACCACCUUAGUAUAGGUGGGGUCAAUAUAGCAAGGGGGCCUGAGAGUUUCUUGACGUCAUUUGUAUGCAACACAAACUCAACACAGUAAUGAAGGGCAUCGAGGUGAUUGUAAACCUGCUGCUAGGUCUAUAAUUUUUUUGUCAGGCACAAGGUAAAAGAAGAGUCAGAGAAGGCAGUAGGCGGUGAGAUGAAACAUUCUAGAAAAGUACAGGAAAUUUCAUCAGGGUUCUUGUGAAGGAGCUGCUCAUGACUCAUCCAGACGCCAUAUUUUCAGCUCGACUCAGCUCACUUGGAACCCUG